CCUACGGGAGGCAGCAGUGGGGAAUAUUGGGCAAUGGGCGCAAGCCUGACCCAGCAACGCCGCGUGAAGGAAGAAGGCUCUCGGGUUGUAAACCUCCUUUUAGCGGGAAGCGCAGAAGACGGUACCUCUUGAAUAAGCCACGGCUAACUACGUGCCAGCAGCCGCGGUAAUACGUAGGUGGCAAGCGUUGUCCGGAAUUACUGGGUGUACAGGGCGUGCAGCCGGGAAGACAAGUCAGAUGUGAAAUCCCGCGGCUCAACCGCGGAACUGCAUUUGAAACUGUUUUUCUUGAGUACCGGAGGGGUCAUCGGAAUGCCUGGUGUAGCGGUGAAAUGCGUAGAUAUAAGGAAGAACACCGGUGGCGAAGGCGGAUGACUGGACGGCAACUGACGGUGAGGCGCGAAAGCGUGGGUAUCGAACAGGAUUAGAUACCCGAGUAGUC
rnacentral:rRNA from 1 species